rnacentral:rRNA from 1 species
GCAGGCUUAACACAUGCAAGUCGAACGCUCCUAGCAAUAGGGGAGUGGCAGACGGGUGAGUAACGCGUGGGAAUCUACCCAGCCCUUCGGAAUAGCUCCGGGAAACUGGAAUUAAUACCGAGUACGCCCUACGGGGGAAAGAUUUAUCGGGGUUGGAUGAGCCCGCGUUGGAUUAGCUAGUUGGUGAGGUAAUGGCCCACCAAGGCGACGAUCCAUAGCUGGUCUGAGAGGAUGAUCAGCCACACUGGGACUGAGACACGGCCCAGACUCCUACGGGAGGCAGCAGUGGGGAAUAUUGGACAAUGGGCGCAAGCCUGAUCCAGCCAUGCCGCGUGAGUGAUGAAGGCCUUAGGGUUGUAAAGCUCUUUCAGUGGGGAAGAUAAUGACGGUACCCACAGAAGAAGCCCCGGCUAACUUCGUGCCAGCAGCCGCGGUAAUACNAAAGGGGCUAGCGUUGUUCGGAUUUACUGGGCGUAAAGCGCACGUAGGCGGAUCGUU